rnacentral:rRNA from 1 species
UACGUAGGGUGCGAGCGUUGUCCGGAAUUAUUGGGCGUAAAGGGCUCGUAGGCGGUUUGUCGCGUCGGGAGUGAAAACCCAGGGCUUAACCCUGGGCUGGCUUUCGAUACGGGCAGACUAGAGGUAUGCAGGGGAGAACGGAAUUCCUGGUGUAGCGGUGAAAUGCGCAGAUAUCAGGAGGAACACCGGUGGCGAAGGCGGGUCUCUGGGCAACAACUGACGCUGAGGAGCGAAAGCGUGGGGAGCGAACAGG